rnacentral:rRNA from 1 species
AUUGAACGCUGGCGGCAGGCCUAACACAUGCAAGUCGAACGAGUGGCGGACGGGUGAGUAGUGUCUGGGAAACUGCCCGAGGGAGGGGGAUAAAUAGUGGAAACGGUAGCUAAUACCGCAUACCAUCGGAUGUGCCCAGAGGGGAUUAGCUAGUAGGUGGGGUAAAGGCUCAUCUAGGCGACGAUCCCUCGCUGGUCUGAGAGGAUGACCAGCCACACUGGAACUGAGACACGGUCCAGACUCCUACGGGAGGCAGCAGUGGGGAAUAUUGCACAAUGGGCGCAAGCCUGAUGCAGCCAUGCCGCGUGUAUGAAGAAGGCCUUCGGGUUGUAAAGUACUUUCAGCGGGGAGGCGUUACCCGCAGAAGAAGCACCGGCUAACUCCGUGCCAGCAGCCGCGGUAAUUC